rnacentral:lncRNA from 1 species
UUCCUUAGGAAGCUUCUAGUAUAUAAUAAAUGAUCAACAGCUGUGUAUGUGAUUGGAGAGAGCAGGAGAGCAGGCUUUUAAAAUUGAACACAUUGGAAAACACGGCUGAUUCAAACGAUGCGAACAGGUAUACAGUGUAGAUUAAUCUGCCCAGAAGCAGCCAAUGUUAGGGGUUUUCAAGGUCUUGCAUGCAAGUACAGGCACAUCCGGUGCUUCC